rnacentral:rRNA from 1 species
GAUGAACGCUGGCGGCGCGCCUAACACAUGCAAGUCGAACGAUUAAAGCACCUUCGGGUGUGUAUAAAGUGGCGAACGGCUGAGUAACACGUGGGCAACCUGCCCCUUUCAUUGGGAUAGCCACGGGAAACCGUGGAUAAUACCGAAUACUUCGAGACUUCCGCAUGGAAGACUCGAGAAAGCUCCGGCGGAGAGGGAUGGGCCCGCGGCCUGUUAGCUUGUUGGUGGGGUAACGGCCUACCAAGGCAAUGAUGGGUAGCUGGGUUGAGAGACCGACCAGCCAGAUUGGGACUGAGACACGGCCCAGACUGCUACGGGAGGCAGCAGUGGGGAAUCUUGCACAAUGGGCGAAAGCCUGAUGCAGCGACGCCGCGUGCGGGAUGAAGGCCUUCGGGUUGUAAACCGCUUUCAGCAAGGACGAGGCGAAAGUGACGGUACCUGCAGAAGAAGCCCCGGCUAACUACGUG